rnacentral:rRNA from 1 species
UACGUAGGGUGCGAGCGUUGUCCGGAAUUACUGGGCGUAAAGAGCUCGUAGGUGGUUUGUCGCGUUGUUCGUGAAAACUUGCAGCUUAACUGUGGGCGUGCGGGCGAUACGGGCAGACUGGAGUACUGCAGGGGGAGACUGGAAUUCCUGGUGUAGCGGUGGAAUGCGCAGAUAUCAGGAGGAACACCGGUGGCGAAGGCGGGGUCUCGUGGGCAGUAACUGACGCUGGAGGAAGCGAAAGGCGUGGGGAGCGAACAGG